CCAGAGCUGGCACGUAAAUACCUGGAAGAGAAGGCCGCGAUGUCUACGCAACAGAGGAACGCAGGAGACGCUCCGCGAGAAGUCGCCUCGCCAUCCGCGCCGACCCUCUAUCCACGGGUGCCGAUGAUGGAUGAAUAAUUGAGCUACAGCCGCGAGGAAGUUGUGUAUUCCUUAUGAAAGGAUUGUGAAAUUUAGCGAAAGUUAAAAAAAUGUGAAAUGUGUAAAGUAGAAAUGUGCGUUAUCUUGUGCUAAUGUAAAUCUUGUAUUUGUUGAUUCACUCUGGAAAAAUUCAGGAAGAAACCGAUGGACUCCGAACUUAUGACGCGAACCUCGCCCCUAGGAAGGAAGAGAUAUUUUUGUGAACUUAUAAGCAUGCACUGACUUUUUAUAUAUGUGACAUCAAGCUUAAUCAUACUUAGUAUUACUUUGAUGAUGAAUUACGAUUAUAUUCAACUAUGGUUAUUUCAUCUUGGUCAUUAUUAUCAUACUUUAUUCAUUAUUGUUUUCAUGAUUGUAAUGCGAUAUAAUCAAGCUAUAUGAUUUUAUGAACAUGUAUACAUCCUGGGUAUAGAUUUGUUUUUAUAGAUGAAUGGUGUUCCAAGCCGGAGGUGGAAACAUGUCACUUGUUACUAUCUCUUAACAUAGAUGUUCUGACUGGUAUGUCACUAGGAAGUUCGUCUGAUCAAGGGUAGAUCAAGGACGCUUUCCUAUUCCGGGCGCCAGGCAUGAGAAAUCUCCCUUCGGGAUAUUUCUUUUGUUUGGGGGACGUAUGUAAACAGAUAGCCAUGCUAUGACCUUGAAUUGCUAGUAUUACAUAAUGGUCACUAUGAUAUUUAUGUGUACCUAGAUGCUGCGCACUGAAUGGUGUUAAUGAUAAUUGACAGAAUGAACUCUGUGACUCUUGUAGCAAUGCGUAGUAUUCCUAAAUGAUGUUAUGAAACCAGGUCAUAAUACGGGCAGAAUAAUAUCCAAAUUGAGAGUUUAACAACAUGUGACCUAUUUGGCGAUUCUGUGUCUGCAACGAAUGCUCUAGUAUUCUAUAUUGAGUCAUGUAUUGUGUAUUCUAUAUAUUAACCUUUGUAACCUUUUAUGCCGUGUAUGAAUGAACGUAUUGUGAGUAAGUGAUGCCUCAUACUAGGUGGGGGACUCCGAGACCCAGGACUCGGAGACUCAAAUCCUGCAUCCAGACUCUUUGAUUGGCAGUUUUGACGGUUCUGUUACUUUAUUUAGGAAUAAACUAUUCAUCUUAAUUUUGAACACUAAAUGUUCACUCAUGAUCGUCGUAAAUGGGCCGAACUAGUCAGAACUGUCCAUCAUAAGUAAAAUGUUAUAUAUACCCAUGUAAAAUGAUGUUGAACAGAUGAAGAGAUUCCGCUAGGAUAGAUUCCGCUUAUAUAGAUUCUUAGACUCCUGAUUUGGGCUGCUAUUAGCUGAUGUAAUUGUAACUAUACGAUCACGCUUAAUAAAACCGCUUGAGAAAG
rnacentral:sRNA from 1 species